UUUAAUAAGUAGAAGCAUCCGCUUCUCACCUUACGCCUCAGGUUAGUAAGGUUACGAUGUACGACAUGUUAGUAACAGUGCGUCUAAAAAGCGGGUGGUUUCGCCCGCUUUUAUUUAUUUCA
rfam:Desulfotomaculum nigrificans CO-1-SRB chromosome, complete genome.